UGUCUCCCUAUUCCAAAUCUCUUCAAGUGUAAAUACCUUGCGUUUCGUGAAGGAGACGUAUGGGUGUACAAGCCGGAGCUGAGAGAGCUCAGGGAGAAGCUACAGCUCCCUGUCGGGUCUUGCAAACUAGCACUUCCAUUCAAAGCAAAAGGUCAGCUUGGUUCUCUUAUUUAGUAAAAACGCAGGAAGGAAUUUCGCGCACAUACCCUUGGGAAUGUGCGGAGUUGCGCAGACAUCCCAGUAGAGUUGGUGUUUUCAUGCGUAAACCUGAAAACCUGCCUAUUUGUGACCUUGUCCCUGUCAGGGCAUCAAUGCAAAUGUGGUUUUCUCUAUGCACCUUCAAAGGGGCAUGAAUGCAAAUAACUUGUGGUUUUGGGGCACACAUGCUGAUACCAACUUCGCAGGGAUAAUUGUGCAAUUUCACCUAUUUGCAAGGGGGUAUAUGUUGGAAAAAGUCCUUCCAAGAAACCCCAUACAAAUAUUGUAUAGCUUCAAUUUUGACCUCUGAAAUAUUAAAACCUAUAUAUUACCCCCUAAAAUACAGAAUUCAUCACUUUGCCCCUGAAAAUCCAUCACUUUGCUCGCAAGUUUAAUAGGGGUGCAAUGUAGAUUUUAAAAAUUGACAGGGACAACGUGAAGAUCACAAUAUUUAUGGGGUUUGAUUAUAUAUAUAUAUAUAUAUAUAUAUAUAUAUAUAUAUAUAUAUAUAUAUAUAUAUAUUUCUCCCCCCAGUUCAGGAAAGUUCCACUUACCGCUAUUAAAAAAACAAAUGCAGAACACCCAUACUUACCUUCAUCUCACCGAGUAGCUUACGCGACCAUACUUCACUCUGAGAGCGUAUACGUCUGCGGUGCAAUAACUGUGGCUCAAAGCAUCCGACAAGCAGGAUCCACAAUAGACCUAAUAAUCCUCGUCGAUGAAAAUAUUAAUAAUCAUCACCGAAGUGGCCUCAAAGCGGCGGGUUGGAAAAUAAGAACUAUUAAAAGGAUACGGAACCCUAAAGCAGAACCCGAAUCAUAUAACGAGUGGAACUAUAGCAAAUUCUGGCUCUGGCGUCUUACCGAUUAUGAUAAAAUCAUAUUCAUCGAUGCCGACCUUUUAAUCCUUCGAAACAUCGAUGUUUUGUUUUCAAUGCCCGAGAUCAGCGCAAUUGGCAAUAAUGGAACUCUUUUCAACUCUGGUGUGAUGGUAAUUGAGCCUUCAAAUUGCACAUUUCAACUGUUAAUGGACCAUAUAGGUGAUAUUGAAUCGUAUAAUGGUGGUGACCAAGGUUAUCUAAAUGAGAUAUUCACUUGGUGGCAUAGAAUUCCUUCACACAUGAAUUUUCUGAAGCAUUUUUGGGAAGGAGAUGUGGAGGAGACUAAGGCAUUGAAGACUUACUUAUUUGGGGCCGACCCGCCGACUUUACAUGUGCUCCACUACUUGGGACUAAAACCGUGGUUGUGCUUUAGGGAUUACGACUGCAAUUGGAAUGUGGAUAAUUUGCAGGAGUUUGCGAGUGAUGUGGCGCAUGCCAGGUGGUGGAAGGUGCACGACAGAAUGACUACAUA
rnacentral:lncRNA from 1 species